UACGUAGGGAGCAAGCGUUGUCCGGAAUCAUUGGGCGUAAAGCGCGCGUAGGCGGCCUCAUAAGUCCGUUGUGAAAGUCAAAGGCUCAACCUUUGAAAGCCGGUGGAUACUGUCGGGCUAGAGUCCGGAAGAGGCAAGUGGAAUUCCUGGUGUAGCGGUGGAAUGCGCAGAUAUCAGGAGGAACACCCAUAGCGAAGGCAGCUUGCUGGGACGGUACUGACGCUAAGGCGCGAAAGCGUGGGGAGCGAACAG
rnacentral:rRNA from 1 species